rnacentral:rRNA from 1 species
UACAGAGGUCUCAAGCGUUGUUCGGAUUCAUUGGGCGUAAAGGGUGCGUAGGUGGCGCGGUAAGUCGGGUGUGAAAUUUCGGAGCUUAACUCCGAAACUGCAUUCGAUACUGCCGUGCUUGAGGACUGGAGAGGAGACUGGAAUUUACGGUGUAGCGGUGAAAUGCGUAGAUAUCGUAAGGAAGACCAGUGGCGAAGGCGGGUCUCUGGACAGUUCCUGACACUGAGGCACGAAGGCCAGGGGAGCAAACGGG